rnacentral:rRNA from 1 species
GACGAACGCUGGCGGCGUGCUUAACACAUGCAAGUCGAGCGGUAAGGCCCUUUCGGGGGUACACGAGCGGCGAACGGGUGGGUAACACGUGGGUGACCUGCCCUCAGCUCUGGGAUAAGCCUGGGAAACCGGGUCUAAUACCGGAUAUGACUCCAUGACGCAUGUUGUGGGGUGGAAAGCCUUGUGCGGCUGAGGAUGGGCCCGCGGCCUAUCAGCUUGUUGGUGGGGUGAUGGCCUACCAAGGCGACGACGGGUAGCCGGCCUGAGAGGGCGACCGGCCACACUGGGACUGAGACACGGCCCAGACUCCUACGGGAGGCAGCAGUGGGGAAUCUUGCGCAAUGGGCGAAAGCCUGACGCAGCGACGCCGCGUGAGGGAUGACGGCCUGGU